AUGCAUGUGUUGAAUGAGAUGUCCUUGUUUGCACCAUGCCCGUUUGUUUCGUGCAUGUCCAUCAUUUUGCCAUGCCACUGUCACGUGGGUACCCGGUAUCCGAGAUCACCCCACCAUAUUUUGCAUGUUCCGCACAUCCGCACACUUUCUUUUGCACCCACAUCUCGACGAGUUGUCGGAUCACCGGAAUGUUGCCGUGGCACCAUUUCCGUUGUAGUUGCCGUGGCACCCCUUUCGUUCCGCCACGGUGACAAAUGCUUCAUAACAUGCUUAUGUCAACAUUUUCAUAAAAAUUGCAUAAAACUUGCAUAUGUCAUCCGCAUCAGGAUAACAACAAUUAAAAUGUUUAAAAUUGUUGCUUGCUUUAAAUUGCUAAAUGACAUGGGGAUUUUUCGGAAGUGUUGUUUGUGUUUCCGGCCUCAUUUAAACUUGCCUAAAUAUGUAGUUUAA
rnacentral:rRNA from 1 species